GCCUCUAUAGCUCAGUUGGUAGAGCAAUCGCCUUGUAAGCGAUAGGUCUUCGGUUCGAAUCCGAAUGGGGGCACCA
rnacentral:tRNA from 1 species